CCUACGGGAGGCAGCAGUGGGGAAUAUUGGACAAUGGGGGCAACCCUGAUCCAGCCAUGCCGCGUGUGUGAAGAAGGCCCUCGGGUUGUAAAGCACUUUCAGUGAGGAAGAACGCCUGGUGGUUAAUACCCAUCAGGAAAGACAUCACUCACAGAAGAAGCACCGGCUAACUCCGUGCCAGCAGUCGCGGUAAUACGGAGGGUGCGAGCGUUAAUCGGAAUUACUGGGCGUAAAGCGCGCGUAGGUGGCUUGAUAAGCCGGUUGUGAAAGCCCCGGGCUCAACCUGGGAACGGCAUCCGGAACUGUCAAGCUAGAGUGCAGGAGAGGAAGGUAGAAUUCCCGGUGUAGCGGUGAAAUGCGUAGAGAUCGGGAGGAAUACCAGUGGCGAAGGCGGCCUUCUGGACUGACACUGACACUGAGGUGCGAAAGCGUGGGUAGCAAACAGGAUUAGAUACCCCAGUAGUC
rnacentral:rRNA from 1 species